GCGGAUGUAUGUUAAGUGGCAUAAACUCUUGGACGUCCAUAAAACGAGAUUUUGGAACGCAGGUUCGAUUCCUGCCGUCCGCCA
rnacentral:tRNA from 1 species